rnacentral:misc_RNA from 1 species
AAGUCGUAACAAGGUUUCCGUAGGUGAACCUGCGGAAGGAUCAUUACCGAGUUAGGGUCGCCCCAAAAAGCGCCCGACCUCCCAACCCUUUGCUUACUUGACCUUUUUUGUUGCUUCGGCAGGCCCGCUCUCUGUGGCCGCCGGGGGUCCCUCUGGGCCUCUGGUCAGUGCCUGCCGACGGCCCCAAAUUAAAACCUUUGCUUAAACGUGUCGUCUAAGUAUUGUUUAAAAACAAAUAAUUAAAAACUUUCAACAACGGAUCUCUUGGUUCUG